AGAAACUAAUUAAAACUCAUAUUUGUUCCACCACCUGUCAAUACACACUU
rnacentral:sRNA from 1 species